rnacentral:misc_RNA from 1 species
AUAAAAAAAAGGUUGAAAAAAAAAAUGUCAAUUAACAGUUUGUCCCAACCAAGUAAUUUCAAUGCUAAUAUUUUGUAUGAUCCUCACAGCCAAUUAUGAAAUUAGAAAUUCCAGUGUAGAAUAUGUACUAAAAUGAAUGUCAUUUCAAGAAAGAUUAAUGCCUUAAUGAAAGGUAAAACCUUGUUCAAGCAUUAAAUCAUUCUUUUUUUAAGAAACAAUGAUGAGUGUGAAUAUUGUUCUAACCAGUUGUAUUUUUUACUUGCAAGUAAACAAUGUAGAUUAAGAAUAGGUAAAUAGAAAUGAAGAUCUGAUGACAACAUGAAAAAUGAAGAGUUCCAAUA